rnacentral:rRNA from 1 species
UACAGAGGGUGCAAGCGUUGUUCGGAAUUAUUGGGCGUAAAGGGCGCGUAGGCGGUUCGGCAAGUCUCUAGUGAAAUCUCUGGGCUCAACUCAGAGUCUGCUGGGGAAACUGCCGGGCUUGAGUGUGGGAGAGGAGAGUGGAAUUCCCGGUGUAGCGGUGAAAUGCGUAGAGAUCGGGAGGAAGGCCGGUGGCGAAGGCGGCGCUCUGGAACGUUUCUGACACUGAGGCUCGAAAGCGUGGGGAGCGAACAGG